UCGAGCGGAGAAUUUGGAGCUUGCUCCAACUUCUUAGCGGCGGACGGGUGAGUAACACGUGGGCAACCUGCCCUGCAGAUCGGGAUAACUCCGGGAAACCGGUGCUAAUACCGAAUAGUUUGUUCCACCUCCUGGUGGAACACGGAAAGACGGUUUCGGCUGUCACUGCAGGAUGGGCCCGCGGCGCAUUAGCUAGUUGGUGGGGUAAUGGCCCACCAAGGCGACGAUGCGUAGCCGACCUGAGAGGGUGAUCGGCCACACUGGGACUGAGACACGGCCCAGACUCCUACGGGAGGCAGCAGUAGGGAAUCUUCCGCAAUGGACGAAAGUCUGACGGAGCAACGCCGCGUGAGUGACGAAGGUUUUCGGAUCGUAAAACUCUGUUGUGAGGGAAGAACAAGUACCAACUAACUACUGGUACCUUGACGGUACCUCACCAGAAAGCCACGGCUAACUACGUGCCAGCAGCCGCGGUAAUACGUAGGUGGCAAGCGUUGUCCGGAAUUAUUGGGCGUAAAGCGCGCGCAGGCGGUCCCUUAAGUCUGAUGUGAAAGCCCACGGCUCAACCGUGGAGGGUCAUUGGAAACUGGGGGACUUGAGUGCAGAAGAGGAAAGUGGAAUUCCAUGUGUAGCGGUGAAAUGCGUAGAGAUGUGGAGGAACACCAGUGGCGAAGGCGACUUUCUGGUCUGUAACUGACGCUGAGGCGCG
rnacentral:rRNA from 1 species